AGCGAACGCUGGCGGCAGGCUUAACACAUGCAAGUCGAGCGGGCACUCUCGGGUGUCAGCGGCGGACGGGUGAGUAACGCGUGGGAACGUGCCCUCUGGUUCGGAAUAACUCAGGGAAACUUGAGCUAAUACCGGAUACGCCCUUUUGGGGAAAGGCUUGCUGCCGGAGGAUCGGCCCGCGUCUGAUUAGCUAGUUGGUGAGGUAACGGCUCACCAAGGCGACGAUCAGUAGCUGGUCUGAGAGGAUGAUCAGCCACACUGGGACUGAGACACGGCCCAGACUCCUACGGGAGGCAGCAGUGGGGAAUAUUGGACAAUGGGCGCAAGCCUGAUCCAGCCAUGCCGCGUGAGCGAUGAAGGCCUUAGGGUUGUAAAGCUCUUUUAUCCGGGACGAUAAUGACGGUACCGGAGGAAUAAGCCCCGGCUAACUUCGUG
rnacentral:rRNA from 1 species